AAAGUCUUUAGAUUCCUUUUUUUCAUUUUUGCUGUGUGUUUUCCAAGAAUUUUCAUUAUAUAUUUUGCUCUCACAGAGUUCACACCCCAACUUUACUAAAGAGUAGACAAUCAAAAACAAAAACACAAGAUUAGGAAACCCAAUUCAAUUCCUCUUGAUUUUCAGUGAUCGAAUUUGGUUUUUUCUUUCCCUGCAGAUGGCGGAUGUUGCUUUGGGAGUAGUAUUUGAUAGAUUACUGAAAGCUGUUCUUGAUUUUAAAGACAAAACCAUCUACUUCAAGUCCAUCCUCAAGAAACUCGAAUCUAGACUGAGAUCAAUUGAACCAACUGUACGUGAAAUUGUGAGUUUGGACAGAGUAUUGAACAAUCCGGAGGCAGAAAUGAAAAUGUUGACCGACUGGUUGAUAGAGGCCGAGGAGCUGGUCCACAAGUGCUCGAAAAUCCAGUGGUGGAAUUGCUUCGCGAAGGUUUCCCACUCAACGAAGCUCCAAAAAUUGGAUGAUAAGCUCAGGGACUUCUUUGAGACCGGUAUGCAAGUUGUGCAGGCAAGAGACAGCAAGAAGAUGCUUGUGACAGUGAAUAAAAUUGAUGAGAAAUUGGAUAGAAUGUAUUCGUUUGUAGGUUCAUGUGGAGCUCCAGGAGUUCCAGAAUUUAUUGUUGGAUUGGAAGAGCCUCUUCAAGAAUUGAAGACGAGAUUGCUACGAGAUGAUGGACAGGUGAUUGUGCUUUCGGCUCCUGGAGGAUGUGGGAAGACUACGUUGGCGAAAAUGCUCUGUCAUGAUGUUCAAAUCAAAGAGAAAUUUAUGGACAAUAUUUUCUUUGUCACGGUUUCGAAGACACCCAUCCUCAGGGUCAUUGUUCAGAAUAUGUUUCGACAUAAGUCUGAUACAGUGCCCGAGUUUCAAAACGAUGAUGAUGCUCUCAACCAACUAGAGAUCUUGCUGAAGCAAAUACAAACUAUACAAUCAAGUCCCAUAUUGUUGGUCUUGGAUGAUGUGUGGACUGAAUCAGAAUCCCUUAUUCAUAACUUCAAGUUCCAAAUACCAGGAUACAAAAUAUUGGUUACAUCAAGAUCUGAAUUUCCAGGAUUUAAUUCUACAUAUAAAUUGGAACUAUUGAGUGAUCAAGAUGCCAUGGCUCUUUUUCGUCACUCAGCAUUUCCGCAAGGUGGGAGCAUGAGCGUGCCAGAGGAUCUUGUCCACAAGAUAGUGAGAGGCUGUAGGAGAUUCCCGCUUGCCCUUAUAGUGGUUGGUAAAUCACUCUGUGGAGAACCGGAGGUGAUCUGGAGAGAUACACUGGAGCAAUGGUCUGAAGGACAAUCUGUUUUAGAUUCCAACAAUGUUCUGCUUACUCGUCUCAAAACUAGCAUAGAUGCCUUGGACAAUAGGUAUUCUAUCAAGGAGUGUUUCAUGGACCUAGGUUCAUUUCCUGAAGAUCAAAGGAUCCCUGCCAUGACUCUUAUGGAUAUAUGGGUGGAACUGUACAACCUGGAUGAAGGCGGCAUACAUGCCGUUGCAAACAUCCACAAACUAGCCUCCCGAAAUUUGGUUAAUCGCGUGUUUACAAGGGAAGAUGCAAAUGAGAUUGAUGGGUUGAAUGAGCAUUUUGUCAUGCAGCAUGAUCUGCUCAGAGAGCUGGCUAUCCACCUGAGCAGCCGAGAGCCCAUAGAACAGAGGCAAAGAUUAAUUAUGGACAUAAGAGGAUAUGACUUCCCCGAGUGGUUUGUUGAACCAAUACAACCGUUUCAUGCCCGCCUCUUGUCUAUCUCUACAGAUGAAACAUUCUCCUCAAGGUGGGGCAGCAUGCUACCACCUGAAGUUGAAGUUUUAAUAUUGAACUUCCGGACAAGGAACUACAGCCUGCCCAAAUUCAUGGAGAAAAUGGAUCAACUGAAGGUUCUCAUCAUCACAAAUUAUGGUUUCUGCCCAGCUGAACUAAGCAACUUUCAGCUACUUGGUUUUUUAUCCAGUCUAAAGAGAAUCAGACUAGAGCAUGUUUCAAUUUCUUUCCUUAGUGAAACCACAUUACAGUUGACGAAUUUGCGGAAGAUUUCCUUGAUUAUGUGUCAAAUUGGGGAGACCUUUAAGAACUGUACCUUCGAGUUUGCCCAUAUGUUCCCAAAUCUUGUAGAGAUUAACAUUCACUGUUGCAGUGAUCUAGUGGAACUUCCUGAUAGGCUCUGUGAUAUUAUCUGCCUUAAGAAGCUCAGCAUCACUAAAUGUCAUGGUCUGGAUGCACUUCCCGAAAGACUUGGAAGGCUAACAAAUUUAGAAGUGCUGAGGCUUCAUUCUUGUACAGGACUAAAGGGUUUGCCAGAGUCAGUUGUAAGCCUCCAUAAAUUAAGGAUCCUUGACAUAUCUGACUGCCUAAACAUCAGUGAAUUGCCAAUACGGAUAGGUGAGCUGCGUGGUCUGGAAACGCUCAACAUGAGAGGUUGUGAAAUGCAUCAGUUGCCACCAUCAGUAAAGGAUCUUGGGGAUUUAAAGGAUGUGAUAUGCGAUGAAGAGACUGUCAAUCUCUGGGAACCUUUUAAGAUUCAUCUCAACAAUGCAAGGAUAACUGUUCUUAAAGAAGACAAAAAUCUAAACUGGCUUUCCGGUCUCUACCAUUGAGAAACCUUAGUGUGAGAAAAUGGUGUAGAACCUCAGGGAGAAUGUUGGAGGGAAGGCACCGACAUUUGUAUUGGUCACCUUGUGCUGCACAUUGUGUGGACCUGAUGUUGGAGGACAUUGCUAAGAUCCCAAAUAUAAUGAGGACCAUAAAGAGAGCUAUAAUGUUAAAUGGUUAUAUUUAUAACCGUUCGGGUUUGUUGAACAUGAUGAGGCGUUAUACUGAACAUAAAGAGUUGCUCAGACCUGCAACGACUCGAUUUACCACUUCAUUUAUCACGUUAUCAAGCAUCCAUCAUCAAAAGGAUUGCUUGAGGAAGAUGCUCACUUCAUAAGAAUGGAUCUCCAGUAAAUGGGCGAAAGAGAUAGAAGGGAAAAAUGUAGCACAGAUUGUGUUGAUGCCUACAUUUUGGACAAGCAUUGUGUACUCUCUCAAAGUAGCAAGCCCUCUUGUUCGUGUACUUAAGUUGGUUGAUGGUGAGAGAAGGCCUCCAAUAGGAUAUAUUUACGAGGCUAUGGAAAGGGCUAAAGAAGCGAUAGCUAAAGCUUUUGGUGGGAAUGAGGAGAAGUAUAAGGACAUCUUUAAGAUCAUUGAUACUAGGUGGAAUAUCCAACUCCAUCGCCCUUUGCAUGCAGUUGGGCAUUUCUUGAACCCAGAAUAAUUUUAUAACAAUCUAAAUAUUGAGCAAGGUGAUGGGUGGUUUAUAUCAAUGCAUAGAAAGAUUGGUUCCAACCACUGAAGAGCAAGAUAAAAUUUCUUUGGAGUUGAGUAGAUAUAUGAAAGCUGAUGAUUUAUUUGGCUCAUCAAUUGCUGUUAGACAAAGAAAGUCAAGGGCACCAGGUAAACAAGUCAAUUAAUCAUUUUUUAGUAUAUUUGAAUUUUAAUUUUGUUAAUUUUUUACUAAUAAUAUGUAAAUAACAGCCGAUUGGUGGUCUGCAUAUGGUUCUACAACUCCUAAUUUGCAAAAGUUUGCUAUUAAAGUGUUUAGCCUCACAUGUAGCGCAUCUAGGUGUGAACGAAAUUGGAGUGUAUUUGAACAUCUUUAUAGCAAGAAGAGGAACUGGCUAACUCAAUGUCGAUUGAAUGAUUUGGUUUUCAUCAAGUAUAAUAGAGCACUAAAACGAUGAUAUGACAUACGUGAUUGGAUCGAUCCCAUCCUUUUAAAUGAUAUUAAUGAUAGCAAUGAGUGGUUGGUUGGAGUAAUGGAUGAAGAUGUAGAUGCCGAAAAUGAGUUGGUGUUUGAAGAUGACUCUUUGACAUGGGGUGCAGUUGCUAGAGCUACCGGGGCUGGAGAGUCCAGCCAUGAUUUAAGAUCAAGAUCAGCUCCAAGGGCAACAAAGAAGACAACACCUUCAUGCUCGCCUUCACUACGAAUCAUAGAUGAUGACGAGGCAAACUCUGAGGAGACAGAAGAAGAAGAAGAUGCUGAGGGUUACAAAUCUUUUGAUGGGGACGAUGAUGAGACUAUGUUGUUUGGUGAAGAGGAUGAUAUUUAGGUCCCUUAGGAUUGUUUGGUAACUUUGGUUUUAGGAGUCCUUGUCAAAACUCAAAACUGAAACUAAUAUUUUGUUGCUUGGUUUAUAGAUUUGGUAGGCUACUAAGUAUUGACUAUGAUACUUUAUAGAUUUGGUAGGCUACUAAGUAUCUUUUGAUAGAUCUGUUUUGGAGUCAAAUGAUAGCUUUUGCUUAAGACAUCAAGUAUAAAUUUAUAAUAUAU